rnacentral:rRNA from 1 species
GCUAUAAUUGUCAGCUAAGUGGCGCACGGGUGAGUAAUGUAUAGAUAACCUGCCCUUAAGAAAGGAAUAACAGUUGGAAACGACUGCUAAUGCCCUAUAUGCCUUUAAUACAUAAGUAUGCAAGGGAAACGCUUUAGUGCUUAAGGAUGGGUCUGUAUGGUAUCAGCUUGUUGGUGAGGUAAUGGCUCACCAAGGCUAUGACGCCUAACUGGUUUGAGAGGAUGAUCAGUCACACUGGAACUGAGACACGGUCCAGACUCCUACGGGAGGCAGCAGUGGGGAAUAUUGCACAAUGGACGAAAGUCUGAUGCAGCAACGCCGCGUGGAGGAUGACACAUUUCGGUGCGUAAACUCCUUUUAUAUAGGAAGAUAAUGACGGUACUAUAUGAAUAAGCACCGGCUAACUCCGUGCCAGCAGCCGCGGUAAUACGGAGGGUGCAAGCGUUACUCGGAAUCACUGGGCGUAAAGAGCGUGUAGGCGGGUAUAUAAGUCAGAAGUGAAAUCCAAUAGCUCAACUAUUGAACUGCUUUUGAAACUGUAUACCUAGAAUGUGGGAGAGGUAGAUGGAAUUUCUGGUGUAGGGGUAAAAUCCGUAGAGAUCAGAAGGAAUACCGAUUGCGAAGGCGAUCUACUGGAACACUAUUGACGCUGAGACGCGAAAGCGUGGGGAGCAAACAGGAUUAGAUACCCUGGUAGUCCACGCCCUAAACGAUGUACACUAGUUGUUGUGAGGCUCGACCUUGCAGUAAUGCAGUUAACACAUUAAGUGUACCGCCUGGGGAGUACGGUCGCAAGAUUAA